GCUCUGGCUGGCCGGGCUGGGGAUGGCGGUCUUCAACAUCGCCGGCGCCCGCCUCGGCGCGGCGACCGCGUUGCGGCGCGGGUCGGGGUUC
rnacentral:tRNA from 1 species